rnacentral:rRNA from 1 species
UACGUAGGGAGCAAGCGUUGUUCGGAUUUACUGGGCGUAAAGGGCGCGUAGGCGGCAAUUCAAGUCACUUGUGAAAUCUCCGGGCUUAACUCGGAACGGUCAAGGUGAUACUGCUUUGCUAGAGUGCGGAAGGGGCAAUCGGAAUUCUCGGUGUAGCGGUGAAAAUGCGUAGAUAUCGGAGAGGACACCUGAGGUGAAGACGGGUUGCUGGGCCGACACUGACGCUGACAGCGCGAAAGCCAGGGGAGCAAAACGGG